GUCGAGUUGUUUGGGAAUGCAGCUCUAAAUGGGAGGUAAAUUUCUUCUAAAGCUAAAUACCGGCCAGAGACCGAUAGCGAACAAGUAGAGUGAUCGAAAGAUGAAAAGCACUUUGGAAAGAGAGUUAAAAAGCACGUGAAAUUGUUGAAAGGGAAGCGCCCGCAACCAGACUUUGCGGCGGUGUUCGGCUGGUCUUCUGACCGGUUUACUCGCCGCCGUGAGGCCAUCAUCGUCUGGGACCGCUGGAUAAGACCUGAGGAAUGUAGCUCCCUUCGGGGUGUUUAUAGCCUCUGGUGAUGCAGCGCGUCUCGGGCGAGGUCCGCGCUUCGGCAAGGAUGAU
rnacentral:rRNA from 1 species